rnacentral:rRNA from 1 species
CUGCUGCCUUCCGUAGGAGUCUGGGCCGUGUCUCAGUCCCAAUGUGGCCGAUCAACCUCUCAGUCCGGCUACCGAUCGUCGCCUUGGUGGGCCGUUGCCCCACCAACUAGCUAAUCGGCCGCGAGCCCAUCUUCCAGCGGAUUGCUCCUUUGGCUGCAUCGGGAUGCCCCAUCGCAGCGUUAUGCGGUAUUAGCAGUCGUUUCCAACUGUUAUCCCCCUCUGAAAGGCAGGUUGCUCACGUG